rnacentral:misc_RNA from 1 species
GAAAUGCGAUAAGUAAUGUGAAUUGCAGAAUUCAGUGAAUCAUCGAAUCUUUGAACGCACAUUGCGCCCGCCAGUAUUCUGGCGGGCAUGCCUGUUCGAGCGUCAUUUCAACCAUCAAGCCCCCGGGGUUGUGUUGGGGACCUGCGGCGGCCGCAGGCCCCGAAAAGCAGUGGCGUGCUCGCUGUCGCACCGAGCGUAGUAGCAAUCACCUCGCUCAGGGCGUGCCGUGGGCGCGCGCCGUUAGACGGCCAACUUAUACCCCCGCAGGUAGACCUCGGAUCAGGUAGGAAUACCCGCUGAACUUAA